rnacentral:lncRNA from 1 species
AUUUAAUCAUCAAAAACAAAACAUAUGAAAAUACAUAAUGAAAAAAAAAUGUGUGUCUCAUGGCCAGUCCCAAGAAGUAAAGGCAGCAACGCUGCUCCACAAGGCAAUGGAAUAUGAGACAAGAACCAAACGGAGGAACACUCUCCGAAGAGAGAAGACCGUCAACGUUAGUAAACAUUAUUAUGCGACGUUUACUAGGAGUCAUGCAAACACAAUGAUUUUAGUUUGCCCCCAUUCAAGUUGGGAAUUUGGAUUAAAAUCCCCCGUCACAAAAAAUCUAUAUCAGAACAAUUAGUAUUAAUUAAAUAGACUAGAAACAAGAACAUCUACAAAAUAAAUUAAUUAACAAGAUGAAAUGCAACAAAUAAAUUAAUUAGCAGGAAGAAUUGCAGCAAAUAAAAUAAAAGGAUAUUUACAAGGCGCCUUUGAAAAACCCUAAAUAUAGAACAGAAGAAGAUAAUUGGAGAGGUA